GGGGUAGUACCGGUUUCGACGGGGAUUCUGAAUCCGGAUAAGCCAUCCAUGUGCCGGGCCAUGCAAAAAACCGGAACCUAAAAAUAAACGCUGAAGACAACUUCGCACUCGCGGCUUAAUUGCCGCGGAGCCGCUCAUCCGUUCCUGUACGGGUGAAUCCGGCUCUCGACUUUACGGGGAACGCUUCCGCUUAAGCUUUGCGGCGGAAGGGGAUUCAUGAAGCUACCGAAAGACCCCGGCCUGCUUACCGGCCUGGGGUUGAGGGAAUAAAAGUAGAUAAGCUAUGAUGGUAGAAAGUUCGGUGGAUGGAUUUUCGGACGCGGGUUCGACUCCCGCCUGCUCCAUUU
rnacentral:tmRNA from 1 species